AAUGUGCACCACCCAUUUACUUUAGUUUCCAAUUAAAUUGGGUGCCUGUCACGCUUAAAGUGUCCAAAAAAAACUGAUUUUGUCUCAACCCGUAUAAUGCUUCCUGUGAUGUGAUACCAGCUAUCGUCGGUGGGUGCACUGAGGUGCACAACAGGCUGUUACUGUAGAUUAACCGACCACUCUAUUAGGUACACCUCAUGUCUUGAACUGCUCCCUUAUGCAAUCUAAUCUAAUCGGCAAACUCAGUGCAUUUGGGCAUGUAAUUCAAGUUUCAAGGUCAAGCUGAGCCGCAGAAUGGGGAAGAGAGGUUAUUUCUAACAUGGCACAGCUGUUGUACGAGAGAAACUGAACGGAGAGUGGAUUUAAUGAUGGAAAAAAGUGAAAUUGUUAAUGCACUGCAACAACUGGGUCAUCUGCUGCAAAGUGAGAUGGAUCUCUUUGAACAACUAAAUGGCCAAAGCUCUCCAGACAGGAGUGAAAGGCUCAGUUUGCAGGACCAGAGUGAGAGCGCCAGGAUUAAGGCAAGCCAGCUUGUUGCUGAAAUCCUAGAGGUGAAACAGCAGCUAGAAGAGGUUGAGGCUCGUUAUUCGGCGGUUCAAGCUUUGCUCCCUGGGCCAACCUACAAGUCAGAGAGAAAUCACACGAGCCAGUGACUUACAAACACUGUGAUUUUAAUAAGUACAAUAAAGUGUAUAUAAGUAUUUUUAACAGCUAAUAAAAUAUAAAUUUUUAUCUUUUAAA